GACGAACGCUGGCGGCGUGCUUAACACAUGCAAGUCGAACGGUAAGGCCUUUCGGGGUCCACGAGUGGCGAACGGGUGAGUAACACGUGGGUGAUCUGCCCUGCACUUCGGGAUAAGCCCGGGAAACUGGGUCUAAUACCGGAUAGGACUGCGCGGUGCAUGCCGUGUGGUGGAAAGAUUUAUCGGUGCAGGAUGGGCCCGCGGCCUAUCAGCUUGUUGGUGGGGUAAUGGCCUACCAAGGCGACGCCGGGUAGCCGGCCUGAGAGGGCGACCGGCCACACUGGGACUGAGACACGGCCCAGAGUCCUACGGGAGGCAGCAGUGGGGAAUAUUGCACAAUGGGCGCAAGCCUGAUGCAGCGACGCCGCGUGAGGGAUGACGGCCUUCGGGUUGUAAACCUCUUUCAGCAGGGACGAAGCGUGAGUGACGGUACCUGCAGAAGAAGCACCGGCCAACUACGUG
rnacentral:rRNA from 1 species